UUUGACCUCUAUCAAAAGUGGUUGACAAGGAAAAAUGUAGGCAAUGACUUUGAACCUUGCAUAUGAUCUUUCUAAAGUGGAGCUGAGGUGUAUCUGGAACUCUGGGAUUAGUGCAGUGCAUUCAUUUUGCUGUCAGGGUCAGUGAGGAAUAAAGCUUUGAAUUCAUCAUAUCAGUUGGAGCUCAGUAGCCUGGUUGAGAGCACCG
rnacentral:misc_RNA from 1 species